GACGGAGGGGGCUAGCGUUGUUCGGAAUUACUGGGCGUAAAGGGCGCGUAGGCGGUUUUGUGUGUCAGAGGUGAAAUCCCCGAGCUUAACUUGGGAAUUGCCUUUGAAACUGCAGGACUUGAGAUAUGGAGAGGCAAGCGGAAUUCCGAGUGUAGCAGUGAAAUGCGUAGAUAUUCGGAGGAACACCGGUGGCGAAGGCGGCUUGCUGGUCAUAUACUGACGCUGAGGCGCGAAAGCACGGGGAGCAAACAGG
rnacentral:rRNA from 1 species